GAUGAACGCUGGCGGCGUGCUUAACACAUGCAAGUCGAACGGAAAGGCCCAAGCUUGCUUGGGUACUCGAGUGGCGAACGGGUGAGUAACACGUGGGUGAUCUGCCCUGCACUUCGGGAUAAGCCGGGGAAACUGGGUCUAAUACCGGAUAGGACCACAUUUUGGAUGGUGUGGUGGAAAGUUUUUCGGUGUGGGAUGAGCUCGCGGCCUAUCAGCUUGUUGGUGGGGUAAUGGCCUACCAAGGCGUCGACGGGUAGCCGGCCUGAGAGGGUGUACGGCCACAUUGGGACUCAGAUACGGACCAGACUCCUACGGGAGGAAGAAGUGGGGAAGAUUGAAAAAUGGGAGCAGGACUGAUGCAGCGAGGACGCGUGGGUGAUGAUGGCCUUCGGGUUGAAAGAUCCUUUCGAUAGGGACGAAGCGUUAUGUGACGGUACCUGGAGAAGAAGCACCGGCUAACUACGUG
rnacentral:rRNA from 1 species